UUUCCGUAGGUGAACCUGCGGAAGGAUCAUUACUGAGUGAGGGCCCUCUGGGUCCAACCUCCCACCCGUGUUUAUUGUACCUUGUUGCUUCGGUGAGCCCGCCUCACGGCCGCCGGGGGGCAUCUGCCCCCGGGCCCGCGCUCGCCGAAGGCACCCUUGAACUCUGUCUGAAGUUUGCAGUCUGAGCGAAAACUAAAUAAGUUAAAACUUUCAACAACGGAUCUCUUGGUUCCG
rnacentral:misc_RNA from 1 species